rnacentral:rRNA from 1 species
CCCUUAGAUGGUCUGGGCGGCACGCGCGCUACAAUGAUGCAUUCAAAAAGUCUUCUGACCUUAGAAGGUUGGGUAUUCUCCAAAGUGCAUCGUGAUGGGAAUAGUUUAUUGCAAUUUUUAAUCUUGAACGAGGAAUUCCUAGUAAGUACAGGUCAUCAACUUGUGUUGAUUACGUCCCUGCCCUUUGUACACACCGCCCGUCGCUCCUACUGAUUGAGUGUCUCGGUGAAUUCUUUGAUCUUCUGUCGAUUCAGUUCACUGGUCCGACGGUGGAAAGUUGAAUGAACUUCGUCACUUAGAGGAAGGAGAAGUCGUAACA